AGGGAGGUGUUUAACAGUCUGGAGAGCCAAAAGAGGUCAUCAGGGACCAAUUUUCUCAAGAUCCUCCCUCCUCCAGAAGACAAUUGUGUUUUGCGAGUUCUGAUCCAAAGAAAGGAAGGAAAAAUGAAGCACGGAUGAACAAGGCUGCGAUGAGAACACUGCUACAUCCCAGCUCGGAUCCGCGUCAGACGACUGCCUCCUGGCGUAACCGGCCGCGUCGCCACCUCCUGCGUCCAGGAACGGCACGGGGUUGUGCGUGGGAUGCCGGAACCACAAGAGGUUUUCAGAUUUCCAGGAUGCUGAACCGCGCUCCUGAACCACACGACCUGCUCUUGCAGUGAUUUUUCCUGCGCUCGGCAGCGACGCGGCGCUUCCUGCUUCGUUCGUAUCAGCCAAUACCUACAGAAUUUUAAUGAGCGUACAGUGAGUUGCCUAUAUAAGUCAGCACAUGGCAGAGUGUGUGCUGCUCCUCGUAACGAGGCAUAUAGAGCGCCUGGGGCUGUGGAGGCAAGAAGCCAAAGGAUGUUAUUAUUGCCCUUAUAAAUUGUUUUCAAAAUAAAUAAGAUACAGAAUGUUUCGCUUUGAAGGGGAAAAAUG